ensembl:lncRNA
CUCCAUCUCCUGCUGGUGUUCCACACUGGCCAAACCCCAGGGAAGGCAGAAAGCCAGGGGGCGGGGGAGCUGUGGUCGGUCCACACAGGUGAGCCUUGUCAGGUCCUGAGCUGGAAGAGGGGGGUAAGGAGUGAACCCGGAUGGACAACGGCGAGACAGCCAGGGAUAUCUGUAUACCUCAGAGCCUUGCCUGACUUCUCAGCCCCUUGUCACUGGGCUGAUGGACUUCUCCACACCCUUCUUGGCCUCUAAGCCAGGGAAGGGAAAGCUCACCAUCUCUGGAGGGGAACCGGAGGGCCUACCACUGGGUUCUGGCUCUUGCCUCAGCAGCUGGGCCACCAGCUGGGGGCAGGCGGAGAGGAGCCAGAGCCAUGCUCAUUCCCUCCCCCAAAAAGAAGAAUCCCAGGAAGAGGCUCACUGGCCGUGAGCAAAGUUCAGCCCUACUCAGGCCUGUUAACAUCCUCUGGCAGCCAAGGGCACUGGAAGGAGGCAGAAGUCAGGAAAAUUCCAAGAAGCUUUUACUAAAAAUAAAUAGCCUCCUCUUACAAGAUGCCCAGCCAUUAAUUAGCCAUAGUACUUCUGUAAGAGGAGAGGCCCUUUGGCUACAGAAUAUGAAUUUUUAAAACUAAGCUUCAUCCAAAGUGGCAAUUAAGGGCUUCACCCAAUCAUAAUAAACCUUGGUCUUCCUUUCCUAAGCGAGCUCCGCAUCUUGCUGCCAGAACAAACCCAUCAGCUCAUUCCUGGUUUCCUUCUUAAAACAGAGCAGAGCCACGACACUCCGCAGAGCGAAGGCUCACAGCAGCCCUCGCCAGGUUCCCCAUGUCACCAGAGCAGUGCUGACACGGGUGCAGCAGACCCCAUGUGUCCUUCAGCCCAGGCCCAUGGGACUCCUUCCACAGAGGCCGUGCCGCAUCGUCUUGGUGUUGGCAGGAACUGAGCAAGAAUCUAUGCUCUUUUCCUUCACAGCAUUUAUGAGAGUUUGCAAUUUUACAUGUUAACAGGGACAAGCUUUUUUAUCCUGUGUAUAUUCUCUGCCUCUUUCCCUUCCUGCAUUCUGCCCCCUAAAGAAAAUCCUGGCUUGUCCACUGGGCACACUCCUUUCUCCUCCAUCUCAGAGUCAGCGUGGGGAGCUGGGUGUGAAGCUGGAGCAAGGGGCACAGAGCAAAAUGCUGGCAGAGCAGGGCAGGGGUGCAGUGGUGAGGCCAGCGGCGGAGAAGCAGCAGAGAGUUGGGCCUGUGAAGCAAAAGCAGAAGCCAAACACAACAAUCCACAGGCAGUGUGGCCCUACCCGCCUGCCAGCAUGUGACUCGUGGACAAGAAGAUGUCCAUCAGAAAGAAACAAGAAUGAAGGGGAUGGGGCAUGGUAAAAAGCUGGUUUUAAAAAGUCCUAAGGACCUCCCUUGGUGGUCCAGUGGUGAACCCACUGCCAAUGCAGGGGACAUGGGUCCAAUCCCUGGUCCUGGAAGAUCUCACAUGCUGUGAGGCAGCUGAGCCCCUGUGCCACAGCUACUAGUUCUGCAGUCUGGAGCAUGGGAGCUGCAACUGCUGAGCCCACGUGCUCUAGAGCCCGUGCCCUGCAACAAGAGAAGCCACCGCAAUGAGAAGCCUGCACACCACAACUACAGAGUAGCUCCCAAGGGCCACAACUAGAGAAAGUUUGGAAGCAGCAGUGAAGACCCAGUGCAGCCA